rnacentral:rRNA from 1 species
ACGAACGCUGGCGGUAUGGAUUAGGCAUGCAAGUCGAACGGGAUCUGAGAUGUUCAAGUAGCAAUAUGAGAAUAUUUCAGUGAGAGUGGCGAAAGGGUGAGGAACACGUGAGUGACCUGCCCCUAAGUUUGGAAUAACCUUCCGAAAGGAGGGCUAAUGCCGAAUGUGGAUUUUCCCCUCAUGGGGGGAUAUCUAAAGAUUUAUCUCUUAGGGAUGGGCUCGCGUCCUAUUAGCUAGUUGGUGAGGUAAUGGCUCACCAAGGCGAUGAUGGGUAGCUGGUCUGAGAGGAUGGUCAGCCACACUGGGACUGAGACACUGCCCAGACUCCUACGGGAGGCUGCAGUCGAGAAUCUUCCGCAAUGGGCGAAAGCCUGACGGAGCGAUACCGCGUGAAGGAUGAAGGUCUUCGGAUUGUAAACUUCUGUCACUGGGGACGAAUAAAUGACGGUACCCGGAGAGGAAGUCACGGCUAACUACGU